rnacentral:lncRNA from 1 species
UCACUGUAACCUCCACCUCCCAGGUUCAAGCAGUUCUCUGCCUCAGCCUCCUAAGUAGCUGGGAUUACUGGCACCCACCAUCACGCCUGGCUAAUUUUUGUAUUUUUAGUAGAGACGGGGUUUCACCAUCUUAGCUAGGCUGGUCUCAAACUCCUGACCUCAGAUGAUCCACCCGUCUUGGUCUCCCGAAGUGCUGGGAUUACAGGCAUGAGCCACUGCGCCCAGCCGAGGCUGUGACUUUUAACGUGCCCUUGUCUUAGUCUCUUCAAGAGAGAAUGAAAAUUAUCAAGCUCCUGCUAAAUACACUGUGUAAAAGUAGAUGUGGACAUUACCAGAAGGAUCUCUAAAAGAUUUUGAGUUCACAUGUGAGUAUGCACACACCUCACAAACCCACGUGCACAUGCGCUUUCGCGUGCACGGAAUCAGAGAUAUAGCAUCACAUGGAAUCACAGAAAUAGAAACAUGUGCAUAGCCACAUAUAGAAAGAUACAUGGACAGACACACACCCCACUGAAAUGUCAAACUGUAAUAUUUAAAUGCAUGUCUAUUGAAGUUAAAAAAAAAAAACCUGCAUUUUUAUCCCAGCUCCAUCACUUACUAGUUCAAUGAUUUGAGGUCAUUUUCUUGUCUUCUCACCUGUAACAUGAGAGUAAUAUUAGCACCUAUCUUUUAGAGUUCUUUGAAGAUGUAGUGAAAUGAAGGGUUUAGCCCAGUGCUUAGAAUGUCAUAGAUGUUGCUGCUAUUGCUGUUAUCUUUUGGUUUUGGUACAAAGUGCUUAGCUAGAUAGGAUUUGGUUUUUGUGGUCAAACUGCAUGAUUAUAUCAUAGAGAUGUAUUAAUCAACUUUUUUUGUAAAGGUAUUAAUAAAGAAUAAUUUAUUAAUGUAAUAUAGAUUACAUCCACAAACAAGGUCAUUUCUGAAAUUCUCAGCGAUGAUAAGGGAUUAUUACUGUCUCUGGCAAAUGGAAAGACCUGAAACAAAUAUUUCCUGCUAGUGUGGUUUGUUGUUGUUAUUACUGUCGUUAGUAUUCUUUUCCUCUUUUCAGGAGGAGAUGGAAGAUUGAGAGCAGAGUGCAAGAAUGGGAAGAGGGCUUCGUGCCCUGUGCACGUUUGCCACCUAGUGACCAAACUGAAUGGUGUGCUUCUCACCUCAGCCUGAUAGCCUGACCUUGACUCCUGAGUUCCACGAUCGCUUCACAACUGCAAGUCACCAUCAUACAAAAUUUGAGUUUCCCUAAGUCCGCGCCUUUGAGAGCUUUGGAACGAUAUGCAAGUUCAAGUCACCAUCCUGUUUCUUGCUACCUCCUGUGAGAAGACCAACAUUUGGGUUACUUGUUUCUACUCUUGUUCUUCUGCUUGUUAUUGUUGCCUCUGCAGCCAUUGAUCACACACGUGUUGUCAUACAAAAACUGGUUAGCCUUUUUAUUUGUCUUGUGAAUUUUAUCAUUUGGUUCUUAAGUAUUACAAAUUAAUAUUGUGUACUCUCAUUGAUAUACAACUUUCAGUCAUUGUAAAUAUGCGUGAGUUAGGGGUGAGAAUGGCAUGCAAGCAAAAGAACAAGGAGAGGGAUGAUAGAGAUGCAAGAAGAGUAAAGAGGGCAAGAAAGUUUAUGUUAAUAGCGAACACAAUGAAAGUUCUUUAAAUGCUUGAUAAUGGUGAAAGCAACACUUCCUAGGGCAUAUUUUUGGUGUUAAUGAACCUACACAUCAUACAAUAAAGAAAAUUGAGAAAGCAGUUGGGGCCAGUGAAUCGGGGGCACACAAGAAUCAUUGAGAAAAUCAUACACAACUCAAAAUGCCACAAUAGGGAAAAUAUAAAGAGAUUUGCACUUGUGGCUUCUAAAACAGAGAAGGUUGAAUAGGUCUCUUUCUGUGUGUAAAAUCUGCCAGUGAGCAUCACAAAAAUGCAAAUUUAAAUUUCAAUCUGGAUGGAAAGUUAUAAAAUUCAUUGCAAGUAAUGGGUGGUUGGGUAGGUUUAAGAAAUGCCAGGUGGGUGGAUCACUUGAGGUCUGGAGUUUGCAACUAGCCUGGCCAACAUGGUGAAACCUUGUCUCUACUAAAAAUACAAAAAUUAGCCAGGCAUGGUGGCGGGUACCUGUAAUCUCAGCUACUCAGGAGGCUGAGGCAGGAGAAUCGCUUGAACCUAGGAGGCAGAGGUUGCAGUGAGCUGAGAUCGUGCCAUCGCACUCCAGCCUGGGUGACGAGAGCAAAGCUCUGUUUCAAAAAAAGAAAAGAAGAGAAAAGAGAAGAGAAGAAAGAAGAGAAGAGAAGCGAAGCAAAGCGAAGAGAAGCGAAGCGAAGAGAAGCGAAGCGAAGCGAAGCUGUGGCCUGUAAUGAAAAGAAGUGGAGAAGUGACUGUCAGAGGAAGCAGAUUAAGGAGCUGCCGGAGAGUAUCCUGAAUACCUGAAGAAGACGAUUGAGGACAAUGGCAAUUUGCCUGAGCAGGUUGUCAGUGCUGCUGAAACUCUGGAAGCAAACGCCUACUUGCACAUCUAUUGCAAAGCAUGAGAAAAGGACCAGAGGCUUGAAGCCUGGAAAAGACAAACUCAAAGUUCUGCUUUGUUCCAGUGUGUUCUGAUUAAACCCAUGUUGCUUUACAGAUUCCAAAAUUGUUACCUUCUUUAAAGAGAAAGCCAGAAACACUUUUCUGUGUACAUGAAGGGAAACCAUGAAAUAUGGAUCACUGAGAAACUCUUUUUGAACUGGUCUUUGAAGUGUUUUGUUCUGAGGUUAAAUAACAUUUAAAUGAAAAAAAAAUCUUGACUUCACAGUGUUGUGAUUCUGGACACUGCUCCUACAGACAAAAAUGCAGUCAUAAAUGCUGCUCCUUGUGUUCAAGUCAUCUCCAUUACACCCAGUACGACUCCACUCCUUCAACUCUUGCAUCUGAGAGUGCUAGUGAUGUACUAUGCUCUGCAUAUAUUUUGACUACCUGAAGAUCUUAUCAGAGACACCAGAACUUUACCAUGAAAGUGGCUUGGCAACAUUUCUCCGUUUGUAAUGCUUUAACAGGUGUAGAAGAAUCAGUGAGACAAAUAAAACAAUCAACACUUAAUGAAGUCUGGCAGAAAUUUUGGAAUGAGGUUGUGACUGAUUCGGAAGGUUUCCUUCCAGUGGUAGAAGAAAUUGAAAAUAUUGUAACAUCUGCAAACCAUUUGAAUAGUGAAGGCCUUGAAGACAUUGAGUUAAGUGACAUUACUGAAUUGUUAGACUCUCACCUUCAAAAGAUAGUUGAGAAAUAUUUUGGAGAUGUGAUCACAUCAAAAGGCAAUAAAAGAAGCCAGCAUAGGUUAACAUCCAGAACUCUAAGAAUGUUCAAGUAUCUACUCCACAAAUGAAAUUGUCACAAUGAUUCAAAAGAAAGAGAUCCUUUGGUGGGCUACAUAUUGACUUUCAGGGGAGAAGAGGUUGACAUUAAGCCAUGUCAUUCAAACCCGUUCUGCAAACAGGAAAACAGGAAGUAGAAACGCCGCACACAGAUAGUUAAACCUUGGGAUUCAGACUCUGAUGGCUCUGAUGAUAUGGUGAUUUGUGUGCUGGGGAUGAAAGAGGAGCAGAAGACUGAGCUUACAUCUCUUCAGACGAAAUGCAAUUUUCUCUAUUCUUUCCCUGUUACUAUUGUUACGACCAAGCAUUUUCAUUGAUCCAUUAUCAUCUUCAUCUUGAGAUCACAAAGGAAGUUAAUUGCCUGAUAUCCACUCUUGUUAAUAUAAAAUAUCAAUGAUAUUUAUUUUAUUGUUUUAGUUUGGUGAACAAACUAAUUGUCUAGGCUUUCAUAAUACUCAUGUCCCUGCCUCAUUUUUUCCUAAAAGGUCUUAAAUUCCUCCAACAUGGGUACUCUGAGAGUUUCGGGAACUCAACUAUAGCAUUUAAGGAGUGGGCUGCUACUGUACUUGGCUGGAUAAUUUGAUUUUGUACUCCUGAAAUUUGUUUUAAUGCUGAUUAAGCCUAACUUGUGAUCUCACCAGAAAGGAUUAGUUUGGUAUAAGUUAAAUUAAUUUCUUUUCCAGCAAUUGUAUAUGUUAGCUAUUGGCUGAUCCUGAAAAGCAGUAUAUUUAUGUUAAAUUUCCAGAUUUCCUUUGGUAGCUAAUCAAGGAGGAACAGCUGCUAGAGUUCAUUUUCAUAGAUUCUUUCUGUUCUCAUAUCUGGCCGCCUCAGUGAUUUGAAGAAUUGAAUAUCCUCCAAAAAAAUGGAUAUUAUUACCUCCUGUUCUCUGAUGGUGAUGGAGACUUCAUUCUCAGAUUGUUUUCAAAUUCCUUUCAUAAUUCCAUAUAUUUACUUCAUUCGAUUCAAUUGUGUUACAAAAGUUAUUGUCAUGGUUGUUUUAAUUUUGGAUGUUUGGAAUUUUCCAGGCAGAUUUAACAGAGGAAAAAAAACCCACAAAGCCAGAGAUAUGACGCUGUUAUCUUGUUCUAAGAAUUUUGGGCAAAGGCAUAGGCUGAACCUGCCUGUUCUUUUGGCUGCUUUACACAUUCCCAACUGAUGUCCAUUUUGAACUCAGUUGGACAGUUAUUCUGGGGAAUAGAGAGGAAGUCCAAAUAACAUCGCUGUUGUUUCUGUCUUAAUUGCUGUUUGUGCCGGAUUCACGGCACUGGCCUCAUCAUUAUAUCUGAUAAUGAUGCACAGAAAACCUGAAUAGAGAAAAGAAGAAAGAUAAUUCAUUGGCAUGUGCUUGCCAAAAAGAGACUUUAUAUAACUUGAGAAAGCAUAAAGACAACCUGGAAUGAGGAAAUGUAUGUACAGUAAUGAAAAAAAAUGCUUUAAACAGCUGUGUCAAAAACUGACAUCAGAGAGUAAAUUGAAUUUGGUUUUGUAGGAAGCAGGAAACAAGCCCACUCAAACGUGAAAUUUGGCAUGAGGGAGUCCAGUAACUUUCUCCUCAGACUGUGAACUAUAUGUGAGUUUGAUAUUUUGAAGGAAAAGGAAAAAAAAAAAGUUUAAAAGGGCUUCCGCACAGCAAAUGAAACUAGCAUCAGAAUGAACAGGCAACCUAAAGAAUGGGAGAAAAAUUUUGCAAUCUACCCAUCUGACAAAGGUCUAAUAUCCAGAAUCUGCAAGGAACUUCAACAAAUUUACAAGAAAAAACAACCCCAUCAAAAAGUGGGCAAAUGAUAUGAACAGACACUUCUCAAAAGAAGACACUUACGCAGCCAACAAACAUGAAAAAAAGCUCAUCAUCACUGAUCAUUAGAGAAAUGCCAAUCAAAACCACAAUGAGAGCCAGACUGGGAUCCGGUGCGGAGAGCCCCUCAUCCUGGAAAAUUGGCCUCGGCCAGAAAGGCAGCCACCCCCUCGCCCAUCAUGCAUGACACGUUCGUGAAGAACCUGGCGCUAAACCAUUCCUAGGCAACCUGUUUCUGGGUCAGGGUUUCGUGAGUAGCAGAGCAGAUUCCUCGUUGCCAUCUAUUGAAAGUGAGCCCUCCACACAAGGGUUUGUCUGCCUGCGUGCUCAGGGGGCCGUUGGACCCGCGCGUCCGGUGCUGUCCCUCUUCCUUCCUUCCGCCACCC